rnacentral:rRNA from 1 species
UGAGGGAUAUUGCACAAUGGGCGCAAGCCUGAUGCAGCGACGCCGCGUGGGUGAUGAAGGUCUUCGGAUCGUAAAACCCUUUUCUGCGUGACGAUGAUGACGGUAGCGCAGGAAUAAGUGUCGGCUAACUACGUGCCAGCAGCCGCGGUAAAACGUAGGACGCAAACGUUAUCCGGAAUUACUGGGCGUAAAGGGCGCGCAGGCGGUUGGAUAAGUGAGGCAUGAAAGCCCCAUGGCUAAACCUGGGGAGGUUGUCUGAGACUGUCCGACUAGAGUACGAUAGAGGGGUGUAGAAUUCCGCGUGUAGUGGUGAAAUGCGUAGAGAUGCGGAGGAAUACCAGAGGCGAAGGCGGCACCCUGGAUCGUAACUGACGCUGAGGCGCGAAAGCAUGGGUAGCGAACGGGAUUAGAAACCCCGGUAGUCCAUGCCGUAAACGAUGUGUACUCGAUGUUCGGCCUACAUUGUAGGUUGAGUGUCCAAGCAAACG